GGUUAAGCGACUAAGCGUACACGGUGGAUGCCCUGGCAGUCAGAGGCGAUGAAGGACGUGCUAAUCUGCGAUAAGCGCCGGUAAGGUGAUAUGAACCGUUAUAACCGGCGAUUUCCGAAUGGGGAAACCCAGUGUGAUUCGUCACACUAUCAUUAACUGAAUCCAUAGGUUAAUGAGGCGAACCGGGGGAACUGAAACAUCUAAGUACCCCGAGGAAAAGAAAUCAACCGAGAUUCCCCCAGUAGCGGCGAGCGAACGGGGAGGAGCCCAGAGCCUGAAUCAGCAUGUGUGUUAGUGGAAGCGUCUGGAAAGGCGCGCGAUACAGGGUGACAGCCCCGUACACAAAAGCGCAUGUGCUGUGAGCUCGAUGAGUAGGGCGGGACACGUGGUAUCCUGUCUGAAUAUGGGGGGACCAUCCUCCAAGGCUAAAUACUCCUGACUGACCGAUAGUGAACCAGUACCGUGAGGGAAAGGCGAAAAGAACCCCGGCGAGGGGAGUGAAAAAGAACCUGAAACCGUGUACGUACAAGCAGUGGGAGCACCCUUUGGGGUGUGACUGCGUACCUUUUGUAUAAUGGGUCAGCGACUUAUAUUCUGUAGCAAGGUUAACCGUAUAGGGGAGCCGCAGGGAAACCGAGUCUUAACCGGGCGUUAAGUUGCAGGGUAUAGACCCGAAACCCGGUGAUCUAGCCAUGGGCAGGUUGAAGGUUGGGUAACACUAACUGGAGGACCGAACCGACUAAUGUUGAAAAAUUAGCGGAUGACCUGUGGCUGGGGGUGAAAGGCCAAUCAAACCGGGAGAUAGCUGGUUCUCCCCGAAAGCUAUUUAGGUAGCGCCUCGUGAAUUCAUCUCCGGGGGUAGAGCACUGUUUCGGCUAGGGGGCCAUCCCGGCUUACCAACCCGAUGCAAACUGCGAAUACCGGAGAAUGUUAUCACGGGAGACACACGGCGGGUGCUAACGUCCGUCGUGAAGAGGGAAACAACCCAGACCGCCAGCUAAGGUCCCAAAGUCAUGGUUAAGUGGGAAACGAUGUGGGAAGGCCCAGACAGCCAGGAUGUUGGCUUAGAAGCAGCCAUCAUUUAAAGAAAGCGUAAUAGCUCACUGGUCGAGUCGGCCUGCGCGGAAGAUGUAACGGGGCUAAACCAUGCACCGAAGCUGCGGCAGCGACGCUGAUGCGUUGUUGGGUAGGGGAGCGUUCUGUAAGCCUGCGAAGGUGGCCUGUGAGGGUUGCUGGAGGUAUCAGAAGUGCGAAUGCUGACAUAAGUAACGAUAAAGCGGGUGAAAAGCCCGCUCGCCGGAAGACCAAGGGUUCCUGUCCAACGUUAAUCGGGGCAGGGUGAGUCGACCCCUAAGGCGAGGCCGAAAGGCGUAGUCGAUGGGAAACGGGUUAAUAUUCCCGUACUUGGUGUUACUGCGAAGGGGGGACGGAGAAGGCUAUGUUGGCCGGGCGACGGUUGUCCCGGUUUAAGCGUGUAGGUGUGUGUUCCAGGUAAAUCCGGUUCACUUUAACACUGAGGCGUGACGACGAGGCACUACGGUGCUGAAGCAACAAAUGCCCUGCUUCCAGGAAAAGCCUCUAAGCAUCAGGUAACAUCAAAUCGUACCCCAAACCGACACAGGUGGUCAGGUAGAGAAUACCAAGGCGCUUGAGAGAACUCGGGUGAAGGAACUAGGCAAAAUGGUGCCGUAACUUCGGGAGAAGGCACGCUGACACGUAGGUGAAGUGAUUUACUCAUGGAGCUGAAGUCAGUCGAAGAUACCAGCUGGCUGCAACUGUUUAUUAAAAACACAGCACUGUGCAAACACGAAAGUGGACGUAUACGGUGUGACGCCUGCCCGGUGCCGGAAGGUUAAUUGAUGGGGUCAGCGCAAGCGAAGCUCCUGAUCGAAGCCCCGGUAAACGGCGGCCGUAACUAUAACGGUCCUAAGGUAGCGAAAUUCCUUGUCGGGUAAGUUCCGACCUGCACGAAUGGCGUAAUGAUGGCCAGGCUGUCUCCACCCGAGACUCAGUGAAAUUGAACUCGCUGUGAAGAUGCAGUGUACCCGCGGCAAGACGGAAAGACCCCGUGAACCUUUACUAUAGCUUGACACUGAACAUUGAGCCUUGAUGUGUAGGAUAGGUGGGAGGCUUUGAAGUGUGGACGCCAGUCUGCAUGGAGCCGACCUUGAAAUACCACCCUUUAAUGUUUGAUGUUCUAACGUGGACCCGUAAUCCGGGUUGCGGACAGUGUCUGGUGGGUAGUUUGACUGGGGCGGUCUCCUCCUAAAGAGUAACGGAGGAGCACGAAGGUUGGCUAAUCCUGGUCGGACAUCAGGAGGUUAGUGCAAUGGCAUAAGCCAGCUUGACUGCGAGCGUGACGGCGCGAGCAGGUGCGAAAGCAGGUCAUAGUGAUCCGGUGGUUCUGAAUGGAAGGGCCAUCGCUCAACGGAUAAAAGGUACUCCGGGGAUAACAGGCUGAUACCGCCCAAGAGUUCAUAUCGACGGCGGUGUUUGGCACCUCGAUGUCGGCUCAUCACAUCCUGGGGCUGAAGUAGGUCCCAAGGGUAUGGCUGUUCGCCAUUUAAAGUGGUACGCGAGCUGGGUUUAGAACGUCGUGAGACAGUUCGGUCCCUAUCUGCCGUGGGCGCUGGAGAACUGAGGGGGGCUGCUCCUAGUACGAGAGGACCGGAGUGGACGCAUCACUGGUGUUCGGGUUGUCAUGCCAAUGGCACUGCCCGGUAGCUAAAUGCGGAAGAGAUAAGUGCUGAAAGCAUCUAAGCACGAAACUUGCCCCGAGAUGAGUUCUCCCUGAGACUUAGAGUCUCCUGAAGGAACGUUGAAGACGACGACGUUGAUAGGCCGGGUGUGUAAGCGCAGCGAUGCGUUGAGCUAACCGGUACUAAUGAACCGUGAGGCUUAACCUU
rnacentral:rRNA from 1 species